UCGGUUGUUGGAAACUGUGACUUCCCUGCUGGCCUGAAGACCGUGGGCUGGUACGUCGCUACGAUGACCAUUUGCCAGUUUUUCCUCCAAGGCCGGUGCCGAUUCGGAGACCGCUGCUGGAACGAGCAUCCCGGCACCCGGGGUGCGGGCGGAGCCCGGCAGCCGCCACCACAGCAGCCGCCGCCGCCCUCAGGGAUUAACAGGCGUGGUGGGUGGAAUGCCAGCAGCCAGAGAUACUCCAGUGUCAUCCAGCCAUCCAGUUUCUCCAAGUCUACACCAUGGGGUGGCAGCAGAGAUCAAGACAAACCAUUAUUCGGCUCUUUUGAUUCUGGGGCUUCCACCAGCAGAGGCUUUGGAUCAUCUCAAAAUCCUUUUGCUUCGCUUAUCUCUGAAGAGCAGAAAGAUGAAAAGAAACUGCUGGAAGGAAUUGUUAAAGAUGUAGAGAUUUGGGAAUCAUCGGGGCAGUGGAUGUUCUCUGUUUACUCACCAGUGAAAAAGAAACCUAACAUUUCAGGUUUCACAGAUAUUUCACCAGAAGAGUUGAGGCUUGAAUACCAUAACUUCUUAACCAGCAAUAACUUACAGAGCUAUCUAAAUUCUGUUCAACAGCUAGUCAGUCAGUGGAAGAAUAGGAUAAAUGAACUGAAAAAUCUCAAUAUGUCAACCAAAGGAACUCUGCUCACUGAUGUAAAGGGUGGAGCCAGUCAAGCAGCGCCUGCAUUUGGGUUUGGAAGUAAGCAAACAGGGACGUUUGGGUCAUCAGGUUUUCCAGUGAAUAGCAGCAGCAGUAACGUUCAGAACUUUAGUUUUAAAACGAACUCUGGAUUUGCCACUGCCCCUUCUGGAAGCACGCCUGUAUUUGGGAGUCCCUCAGCCUUUGGGGCCGGGCCCUCUGCUGGUUCUACCAUCGCUUCCUCCGCUCCAGCCUUUGGGUUUGGGAAGCCUGAAGCCACAUCUGCUGUUCCAUUUUCCUUCAAGAGCCCUGAUGCUUCCGGUUUUGGAUCACCUGGAUUUUCAGGGUUUCCAGCUUCCUUGGCAGGGAGUCCUUUCGGCCCUGCGGUGACCCCUGCCUUCGGAAGUGGCAGUUCUGUGGCUGGUUUUGGUAGUCCUGGCCCACAGUCUCAAUCUGUAUUUGCCAAGCCUUCUAAUGACUUGUUUGGAGGUAGCAGCAUAUCACCCUCCUUCCCUGUCUCGGCCACAAAUAAUGCACUAUUCACACCUAGGGAUCAGCUGACUAAAGAGGAGCUGGGCCAGUUCCAGUCCCAGAAAUUUACUCUGGGAAAAAUCCCACUGAAGCCACCACCUGUGGAACUUCUGACUGUAUAAAGGGCAGUUUCAGCUACAGAACGGCUUUAGCCAGGCAUAUGGUGCUUGCCUAUACUCUGGGAGACUGAGAGAAGGGAUGCCACAAACUCAGGGCCAGCCUGAACUGCACAGAGUGCUGGAACCAUGAUCUUCAUUUUCUAAAUGAAAAUACCAAGAUCUGGAGAUGUUAAAUGCCCAUCUGAGACCAAUCAACUAAUAAGAGGCUGAAUUGGAUUCUGACACCUGGCCUAGAAGCCUUGCCUUGUCACCACCAUGGUGGUUGCUUCUGGGUCAUGAGGAUUCCUCUUUUUUGUCAGUAUUUUUUGCACACCUUGCCUUAGGGAUGUGUUUUACGGGUUUCCUCUUAUGAGCAUUCACUUCAGUAGAACUGUGUAAUUAGUGAAGCUCAGUGUCCUGAGAUACAAGGUGAAGGAAGUGCUCCCAGGAGAUACGGAACUCUUCAGUCUUCCCCCAAGCUCCAUCCUUUUCAAUUGCUCUCAGAUGAGGACCAAGUCCUCCUGCCCGUCCAUGCAGAGGAAAGAGAACAUGAGAAUGCCAAAGAUUGAGUGGAGGCAUGGGCGCAGGGAGCUCACACAGCAGGGUGAGUGUGUCUUUGGUGUGAUGCUGGCUGGAGGCCAGCGCUGGGCCAUGUAACUACUCCACGUCUCAGAGCCAGCUUCUAAACAAAGGGACACUUGUACCUGUGAAGACUGGGUUUGAGCCUCCCUCCCAGCUGCCAAAGGUGUGAGCUGCCCUGCCACUCCCUCCCCACCAGGAUGGCCUGAAAACUGGAAGCUGUGAAGCAGUCACGAGGUAGCCAGCACUGCGUGGGUGCUGCUCUGGGCGCCUCAGAACUAGAGAGGAACCCUGCCAGACAGCACUGCCAACGCCCUGAGUCGCCUCUGCUCUCCGAGCCAGUUUUAUGGUGUUUGAUGCUACUGAACCUACAAGCCCAGCACCAACCCAGAGAUGAAUUUCACAAGACAGGCCAGGGAAGGGAAACUUUACAGGGAGAAGCACCACCUUAUGCCGCUGGAUGAUAGGGAAGACGGUCGGCCUUGGCUCUAGAACUCCAGCUUUCUAAGUGGCCACAGAGCUUCUAACUAGCCAGAGCUGAGACGGAAAUAAACUGCCACAGGGAGGAAAACUCAGGAGGGGAGAAAGACUGCGGGAUGAUUCUGCCGCCUGGCCUCAGGUAUUUGUCUGGGUAGAGACCCCAGCCUUCAGUCCCUGCUCUUCCUCACCUCUGAAACUGACUCUGCUUCUCCAAGCCUCGCCUGCCUGCAGCACGGUUCCCACCACCUCCUGCUCCAGUCGCAGUGCUUGCCCAGCCCCGCCAUCUCCAGGCUGGUCCUCACCCAUGCCAACACCUGUCAGCGGCAGUCCCUCUUCCCAAGCCUCCCUCAAAAUGUCCACUCAGGCUGCAGGAUCUCCUUCCAGGAAGAGAUCAGUGCAAGCCUCGUGGUCCAGAGCAUACCCUUGUUCUGCUUCUGUCAAGGCUCACACGUGUCACGUGUGAAACCCCCACCAGAGCCAGCAUAUCUCUAUCCCCAGUGUGUCCCCUGGAGCCCUGCAGCCUGGGUGGCUGCUGACUAGUCUGACACCAACCACGAGGCUGCUUUUCCCAGCACCCCAGUAUAAGGAAACAGCAGCCGUGGUUGUCACACUUUCUCAUGGAGUCUCUGUUUCGCUGAUAUUUUUUAUUAAAUUUACUUUUUAUGUUU